rnacentral:rRNA from 1 species
GAUGAACGCUGGCGGCGUGCCUAACACAUGCAAGUCGAACGAACCACUUAGUUUGAUUUUCUUCGGGUCUUAUUAUUUUGUGACUGAGUGGCGCAUGGAUAAGUAACGCGUGGGUCACCUGUCUUUUACAGAGGGCGAACAGUUUAACACGGCUUCUAAUACAGCAUAAGCGCCCAGCGUCACAUGCUGCAGUGUGAAAACCUCCGGAGGUAUAAGCUGUACCCGCGUUGGAUUAGCUAGUUGGUGAGGUCACGGCCUACCAAGGCAACGAUGCUUAGCAGCCCUGAAAGGGUGAUCGGCCAGCCGGGAAGUGAGACAGGGCCGAGACACCGACGGGGGGCAGCAGCAGGGAAUCUUCCGCAAGGGGGGAAAGCGUGAUAGAGCAACGCCGCGGGAGUGAUGAAGGUGCGAGGACGGUAGAGCGCUGUUAUAAGGGAAGAAGAAAUGUGUAAGUAGCUGUGAACAUCAUGACGGUACCUAACCAGAAAGCCACGGCUAACUACGUG